UGAAUACGAGAUGCUACGGCGUCGAAGCAGUCUAUGUCAUACUUCCAAGAAAAGCUUGCACUGUCAUAAACAAAUAAUGCCUGUACCAUAACCGACACAGGUGGGUAGGUAGAGUAUACUAAGGGGCGCGAGAUAACUCUCUCUAAGGAACUCGGCAAAAUGACUCCGUAACUUCGGGAGAAGGAGUGCCUUAUUUAUAAGGUUGCAAUAACAAGAUCCAAGCAACUGUUUACCAAAAACACAGGUCUCCGCUAAGUCGUAAGACGAUGUAUGGGGGCUGACGCCUGCCCAGUGCCAGAAGGUUAAAGAAGUUGGUUAGCAUCCGCGAAGCUGAUAACUGAAGCCCUGGUGAACGGCGGCCGUAACUAUAACGGUCCUAAGGUAGCGAAAUUCCUUGUCGGGUAAGUUCCGACCCGCACGAAAGGCGUAAUGAUUUGGAUACUGUCUCGGAGAGGGGCUCGGUGAAAUAGACUUGUCUGUGAAGAUGCGGACUACCUGCACCAGGACAGAAAGACCCUAUGAAGCUUUACUGUAACCUGAAAUUGAAAUUGGACUUUACUUGCGCAGUAUAGGUGGGAGGCGUUGAGAAUAUUCUUGCGGGAUUAUUGGAGCCAUCAGUGAGAUACCACUCUUGUAAUGUUAGAUUUCUAACUUUGUAUCAUUAUCUGGUCAAAGAACAGUUUCAGGCGGGCAGUUUGACUGGGGCGGUCGCCUCCUAAACGGUAACGGAGGCGCACAAAGGUUUCCUCUGAACGGGUAGAAAUCGUAUCUAGAGUGUAAAGGCAUAAGGAAGCUUGACUGUGAGACCUACAAGUCGAGCAGGGACGAAAGUCGGUCUAAGUGAUCUGACGGUGCUGAGUGGAAAGGCCGUCACUCAACGGAUAAAAGUUACUCUAGGAUAACAGGCUGAUCUCCCCCAAGAGUUCACAUCGACGGGGAGGUUUGGCACCUCGAUGUCGGCUCAUCGCAUCCUGGGGCGGUAGUACGUCCCAAGGGUUGGGCUGUUCGCCCAUGAAAGCGGUACGCGAGCUGGGUUCAGAACGUCGUGAGACAGUUCGGUCCAUAUCCGGUGUAGGCGUUAGAAUAUUGAGAGGAGCCUUCUUUAGUACGAGAGGACCGAGAAGGACAUACCUCUGGUGUACCAGUUAUCGUGCCAACGGUAAACGCUGGGUGGCUAUGUGUGGAGUGGAUAACCGCUGAAAGCAUCUAAGUGGGAAGCCCACCUCAAGAUAAG
rnacentral:rRNA from 1 species